GCGGUCUGUAGUACAGGUGCUGCAUGGCUGUCGUCAGCUCGUGCUGUGAAGUGUUGGUUAAGUCCCGCAACGGAGCGCAACCCUAUCAUCUGUUGCCAGCAUUUAAGGUGGGGACUCAGAUGAGACUGCCGGUGACAAACCGGAGGAAGGUGGGGAUGACGUCAAGUCAUCAUGGCCCUUACGGCCUGGGCUACACACGUGCUACAAUGGUCGGUACAAAGGGUUGCCAAGCCGCGAGGUGGAGCUAAUCCCAUAAAACCGAUCGUAGUCCGGAUCGCAGUCUGCAACUCGACUGCGUGAAGUCGGAAUCGCUAGUAAUCGUGAAUCAGAAUGUCACGGUGAAUACGUUCCCGGGCCUU
rnacentral:rRNA from 1 species